AAAAGAAAAAACUCCAACGGCUGCCGCCAAAAAACGCAAAGAAGAAGAAUUCCAACGGCGGCCGUGACGUCACCGCCGAGGAGCCGUUCCGCACACGCCGGUUCUCGCCGUCGUUUUCGGCUUCAGAAAAAUGUACUUUCCCCCCCACGACUUCCUCUACAGGUAGUUUUUGCCGGAGUUGGUACCUGAAGGCGGAAAAAGCACAGGUCAGCCAUUUUGUUGACUCACAUCCACAUAAAGAGCUUGUAGUUCCACAGCCCUCCAGCAGAGGGCCGGCUGCACCGACCAUCACCAAUAUUGGAGAAAACUUACUCAUCAAAGGAGGUAAACUUGUAUCUUCUAAAAAGAAAAAAUUGCCUUUUUUGAAACAUUUGCACCAAUGUUACAAUUUAAAAACAGCAUAACUCACAUGUGAGGAGAAACUAAACCAAUCAAAGGAGGUAAACUUGAAAAUGCAUCUUUUUAAAAAUAUAUUUUAAAUUUUUUGCAAAGGCAAUAUUCUGCAAAUUAGAUGGUUCAGUGUGAUUUAAUGGAUUAUCAGAACACAAAGACUUGACUUCAGGUUUACAUAAAAAGCUAAUCCACCCCUUUCAUGAGCUCUUUUUUCUUUAGCACAAGCCAGCCAUUAUAUUUUUUUUAAACAUAAUGUUACGAUUAAAAAAAAACAGCAUAACUCACAUGUGGGGAGAAACUAACCCAUCAAAUGAGGUAAACUUGCAAGCGCAUCUUUUUAAGAAAAAAAAAAAAAAAUUGCAAAGGCAAUAUUCUGCAAAUUAGGUGGUUCACAGUCUGAUUUUAAUGGAUUGUCAGAACACAACCCAAAGACUUGACUUCAGGCUUACAAAAAAUCUAAUCCACCCCUUUCAUGAGCUCUUUUUUAAUUUAGCACAGGUCAGCCAUUUUGUUGACUCACUUCCACAUAAAGAGCUUGUAGUUCCACAGCCGUCCAGCAGAGGGCCGGCUGCACCGACAAUCACCAAUAUUGGCUCUUGUGCACAGGAAACAGCCAGAAACCUUGCAGCUACUGCAGCCUUCAGCGUGCAGCGGUGGCUAGUCCUCUCACAGGCUCAGACAACCAAAUCCAUCAUGAGGUGUGAGUUUGCCUGGUGCCCCUCUCUCCUUUCUCACACAUACACACCAGACAAGGACUGCAGUGCUAGUCUGGUGAAAGCAGGACUUGUGAUUAGAUGAGUCUGUUCUCACCUGAAGGCGUGAACAAAUCCAGCGAGGCAAGACUGUAAAAACCCGCUUCUGCAAUGGCAGUUUUAAACAAUUAAAUAUAUAUGCUGUUUUCAUUUUUUAUAUAUUUUUUUUAAUUUCAGUGGAGUAGAGCUGCGAUAUAGGAGAAAACACAUGUGGGGUGAAAGUUCAGUGGAGCAGCCACAAGAUUGAUGACUUUGACUGGUCGAAGCUGAGGUCGGUGUAUAAUGUGGCUCCAAAAGCGAGUUGAUCCACAUGACUAGAUUUGACAUCUUUUCUGAUUUUCUCGCUGGACUAAAAUCCCCUCUGGACCCAAAAUUACACCCCGACGUCUGUGUUCAGCUCUGCGGAUUCACGCCGGAUAAGCGAAGUCUUUGACCACGUUUACAUGCAGUCAAAAUUCGGGUUAAGGUCAAUAUUCCGGUUACUGAAACAUUCGGAAUAAUCUGUUUACAUGCGUGAGCAAACAGGGUUAUCCCUGUAUACAUGGUAACUAAUCAUUUGGGAUAUCUCGAUCAAACCAGCGACGCAUGGAGAACGUCACACCACCAAUAACGGCAGCACGGCGGAUAAUCGAACCCGCUGGUACCAUUUUGUUUCUCAGCCCUGUAGUACGCCUUUUUCAGCGUCUUCCAGCGGUGCUUGAUCUGGUCUGGCGUUCGUACAAAUCCUGCUUCGCCCAACUUUUCACUCACCUUUUUGUAAAUCUCGCUUUCCCGGUACUUUCAACCGUCUACAAAUGCCAAAAUGUUCAUAUUGUUGCGACCCUGAUAUGGGAGAGUUAUGAAGUUCAGCCUGAAUUCUCUCGUCUCUCUGCCUGUCACAGGAAUGCACGUGAUGUCAUGAAGGGAGCAGGUGGUGGGGGGAGGGGGGACUGAGUCCUUUGUUUCUUCUUCAGGGGUCCUAAUUUAAGUUGUUGUGGGAUUAGCCCGAGAAGUGCGAGUUCUGGUCUGCUUAUGCUCUUUGUUUUUGGCUGUAACCCUGUUCAAUACCUUCCUGGCAAUAAACUGGCAACUGGAAGUGACGAGC